rnacentral:rRNA from 1 species
CCUACGGGAGGCAGCAGUAGGGAAUAUUGCUCAAUGGGGGAAACCCUGAAGCAGCAACGCCGCGUGGAGGAUGAAGGUUUUCGGAUUGUAAACUCCUUUUGUUAGAGAAGAUAAUGACGGUAUCCAACGAAUAAGCAGAGUCUAACUCAGUAACAGGAGGCGCGAUACUACGGAGGGUGCCAGCGGUACUCGGAAGCACUGGGCGUAAAGCGCGCGUAGGCAGGAUAGCAAGUCAGAUGUGAAAUCCUAUGGCUUAACCAUAGAAGUGCAGUUGAAACUGGUAUUCUAGAGUAUGGGAGAGGUAGGUGGAAUUCUUGGUGUAGGGGUAAAAUCCGUAGAGAUCAAGAAGAAUACUCAUUGCGAAGGCGACCUACUGGAACAUAACUGACGCUGAUGCGCGAAAGCGUGGGUAGCAAACAGGAUUAGAUACCCUUGUAGUC